rnacentral:rRNA from 1 species
GACGAACGCUGGCGGCGUGCUUAACACAUGCAAGUCGAACGGAAAGGCCCUGCUUUUGUGGGGUGCUCGAGUGGCGAACGGGUGAGUAACACGUGAGUAACCUGCCCUUGACUUUGGGAUAACUUCAGGAAACUGGGGCUAAUACCGGAUAGGAGCUCCUGCUGCAUGGUGGGGGUUGGAAAGUUUCGGCGGUUGGGGAUGGACUCGCGGCUUAUCAGCUUGUUGGUGGGGUAGUGGCUUACCAAGGCUUGGACGGGUAGCCGGCCUGAGAGGGGGACCGGCCACAUUGGGACUGAGAUACGGCCCAGACUCCUACGGGAGGCAGCAGUGGGGAAUAUUGCACAAUGGGCGGAAGCCUGAUGCAGCAACGCCGCGUGCGGGAUGACGGCCUUCGGGUUGUAAACCGCUUUCGCCUGUGACGAAGCGUGAGUGACGGUAAUGGGUAAAGAAGCACCGGCUAACUACGUG